rnacentral:rRNA from 1 species
UCCGGUGGCGAUGCGCUUAGGGGUAACACCCGUUCCCAUCCCGAACACGAUGGUUAAGACCUAAGCGGCCGAUGGUACUUUACUGGAGACGGUACGGGAGAGUAGGUGGCUGCCGG